GACGAACGCUGGCGGCGUGCUUAACACAUGCAAGUCGAACGGUGCACCUCUUCGGAGGGGCUCAGUGGCGAACGGGUGAGUAACACGUGGGCAACCUGCCCCCGGCUCUGGGAUAACUCCAAGCUAUUGGGGCUAAUACCGGAUGUUCACCGCUUCCCGCGUGGGUGGUGGUGAAAAGGGUUUCUGGCUGGGGUUGGGCCCGCGGACUGUCAGAUUGUUGGUGGGGUAGUGGCCUACCAAGGCGACGACGGGUAGCCGGCCUGAGAGGGUGACCUGCCACACUGGGACUGAGACACGGCACAGACUCCUACGGGAGGCAGCGGUGGGGUAGAGUGCGCAAUGGGCGGAAGCCUGACGCAGCGACGCCGCGUGGGGGAUGACGGCCUGCGGGUUGUAAACCUCUGUCAGCAGGGACGAAGCGCAAGUGACGGUACCUGGAGAAGAAGCACCGGCCAACUACGUG
rnacentral:rRNA from 1 species